CCUACGGGGGGCUGCAGUGGGGAAUUUUGCGCAAUGGGCGAAAGCCUGACGCAGCGACGCCGCGUGGGUGACGAAGGCCUUCGGGUCGUAAAGCCCUGUGGGGAGGAACGAACCGGCAUCGGGCUAAUAUCCAGGUGUCUUGACGGUACCUCCUUAGCAAGCACCGGCUAACUCUGUGCCAGCAGCCGCGGUAAGACAGAGGGUGCAAACGUUGCUCGGGAUUACUGGGCGUAAAGCGCGUGGAGAUGGUCCAGGGCUCAACCCUGGAAGUGCAUUCGAAACUGCCAGGCUAGAGUACUGAAGAGGAUCGCGGAAUUCCCGGUGUAGAGGUGAAAUUCGUAGAUAUCGGGAGGAACACCAGUGGCGAAGGCGGCGAUCUGGGCAGAUACUGACACUGAGACGCGAAAGCGUGGGAAGCAAACAGGAUUAGAUACCCCAGUAGUC
rnacentral:rRNA from 1 species